rnacentral:rRNA from 1 species
UACGGGAGGCAGCGGUGGGGAAUAUUGCACAAUGGGCGAAAGCCUGAUGCAGCUAUGCCGCGUGUAUGAAGAAGGCCUUAGGGUUGUAAAGUACUUUCAUCGGGGAGGAAAAAACAAAACUAAUAAUUUUAUUUCUUGACGUUACCCGAAAAAGAAGCACCGGCUAACUCCGUGCCAGCAGCCGCGGUAAUACGGAGGGUGCUAGCGUUAAUCAGAAUUACUGGGCGUAAAGAGCACGUAGGUGGUUUUUUUAAGUCAGAUGUGAAAUCCCUGGGCUUAACCUAGGAACUGCAUUUUGAAACUGAAAUACUAGAGUAUCGUAGAGGGAGGUAGAAUUCUAGGUGUAGCGGUGAAAUGCGUAGAUAUCUGGAGGAAUACCUGUGGCGAAAGCGGCCUCCUAAACGAAUACUGACACUGAGGGUGCGAAAGCGUGGGGAGCAAACGAGGAUUAGAUACC